rfam:Agrilus planipennis Contig28124, whole genome shotgun sequence.
UUUUCGGGGUUUGAUUUAGAAUUCCUACGCUUUACCGAGAAUAAAACUGGCAAAGCGUUUGGAUUCUGAAUCGAAACUUGG